UAGGGAAUCUUCCACAAUGGACGCAAGUCUGAUGGAGCAACGCCGCGUGAGUGAAGAAGGCUUUCGGGUCGUAAAACUCUGUUAUUGAAGAAGAACGUGUGUGACAGUAACUGGUCAUGCAGUGACGGUAUUCAAUCAGAAAGUCACGGCUAACUACGUGCCAGCAGCCGCGGUAAUACGUAGGUGGCAAGCGUUGUCCGGAUUUAUUGGGCGUAAAGCGAGUGCAGGCGGUCUUUUAAGUCUGAUGUGAAAGCCUUCGGCUUAACCGAAGAAGGGCAUCGGAAACUGGGAGACUUGAGUGCAGAAGAGGAGAGUGGAACUCCAUGUGUAGCGGUGAAAUGCGUAGAUAUAUGGAAGAACACCAGUGGCGAAGGCGGCUCUCUGGUCUGUAACUGACGCUGAGGCUCGAAAGCGUGGGUAGCAAACAGGAUUAGAUACCCUGGUAGUCCACGCCGUAACGAUGAAUACUAAGUGUUGGAGGGCUUUCCGCCCUUCAGUGCUGCAGCUAACGCAUUAAGUAUUCCGCCUGGGGAGUACGACCGCAAGGUUGAAAC
rnacentral:rRNA from 1 species